rnacentral:lncRNA from 1 species
GCUGCUCCGCGCCCUCCCCACCCCACUCCCGCGCCUUGCCUUCGCGGACGAGCACGGGGGCGGGGGCGGGGAGGGGGGGCCGGGAUGCACUUCCAACCUUCUCGCCCAGAGGAAGGGACCGCGGGGCGCCCCCUUUCCCGCCCCCACCCCGGGGAGAUCAGAGUGAUGCGAGCGGAUGUUCGACGGAGCGUCGAGGAGGCCAAUGCGGGUUCUGAGUCGAUUCCGGCUGCUUCGGGCGGCAACCAAGCCCUGUCAAAGGAGGCUGCGCGACCUCAGGAAGCAGAGAAAGACCAAUUAGUCGGUGCAGAUGGUCCGAGGCUUAGCAGACGGACGGACCCUCCGCGGCGGCGGCGGCGGGACGGCGCAGAGGAGGACCCGAGCCCCAAAACUCCCUCCGGCGGCUCGCGGGUCCCCGCUGCGGUGGCGCUUUCUGCGCUGUCCCUUUGCGCGAGGGGUCUUGGACCUGCGCUCUCCGCAGCUUGACGUUUGGAGAACUGCAUAGAUGACCGGUCUUGAUUCGUUACAGACGUUAACAAAUUACUUCACCCAAGAUUAUUUUAUGAUCUUUCAGCAGCUUGCUUUGAAGUCUCUGUUUAAGGUUUUUGGUUGUUGGUAGUAGCCGAAUUUAACUGGCUUUUUAUUUUAUCUCUAACUUCGUUUCGUUGCUCGGUGAAGAAUCAACAAAAUAAAACAUUUAAAGACCUAACGUUUUCCUCUGAUUUGUUUGUUAAUAAAAAUACCCUGGUUGGGGCUCCUGGGUGGCUCAGCCCGUCAAGCCUCCGGCUCUUGAUCUCUGCUGAGGUCUUGAUCUCAGGGUCCUGAGUUCAAGCCUCAGGCCGGGGCUCCUGACUGAGCACGGAGCCUACAUAAAAUUAAAAUUUUUAAAAAUGUCCUGGUGCGCUGGUGGAUUCAGAUGCUCGGGAUGUUUGGUAGUUAAAUACGACCAGGGUUCAAAGUUUUUAAACCUGGUUUCGUGAUUUGUAAAAUGAUCUAAUGAAUUUGUAAAAUGAUCUGAUCAACUGCACGUCAAGUUCAGGCACCAGGUAGAAAUAUAAGGACCGCAGGUGAGUGAGUGGAUGGCAACUUCAGGAAUUAGCUCUUAGCCAAGAUGGAUCUCUUGAUUACUUUCUUCUCUAAAAAAUGAGUUUAAAAAUACAUUGAUCAUAAAAUUAUUUGGUAUGUCAACGUCCUUCUCGAAAAUCUACUCUUUCCCUCUUAGUGGACAGAAGGUGAAAUAGUGUCAUACCGCCAUGAGCUUUCUCCCGUUCUUUACAUAAGGUUGGAGCCGUCUCCGAGGAACUUAUGACCUUGGACAUCAUUCUGAGAGGCGAAGAAAGCUCCUCUGUGUGACUGGCAAUAUUAUAAAGAAUUUGAAAUGUUUAACUCACAUGCAAUAUGUAAAUAUUUUGUAGUUAUUAAUGAAAUCCAACCACUGUUUAAGGGCAGGGGUUAAAGGAGGAGAAAGUGUCCCCUUUAGCCUGCAGAAAAUGAAAGAAAACCUGAGAUGACUUCAUUCUAUCCACAUUGGUUUAUCUGAGGUAUGUAUGCACUUAGGG